UUUACAAAAAUCAUUAUCUUUGCUUCCUAUAGAGGAAAAGGGAAUUAUGUGAAAAUCAUAAGCUGUCCCCGCAACUGUAGUUCGUAUAAAAAGUUUUUUACAAUCCGCCACUGUGAAAAUGGGAAGGCGUAAAAAAUACGAAAGCCAGGAGACCUUACCUCCAUCUGAUA
rnacentral:ncRNA from 2 species